CCGUUAAAACACCGGUUUUCGUACGAUCACUGAAGUUAAGCAACGUCGAGCCUGAUCAGUACCUAGAUGGGUGACAGUUUCGGAAUAAUAGUUGCUGU